GGUUGAUUGUGUUGAUGAACAGAAUGAUGGAGGGAUAAUAACUCAAGCAACUCAUGCUCCCACUGGGUUGACUCAUCAGCUGACGUAUGUGUUGAUCAUUUGGAACGUGUACCUAACGACAAAGAUAAAAGGAUGUUUUUGUUGUGAACAUGUGCAGGUCAGGCGGACACGAAUAAGUGAAAGAAUGAGGAAGCUGCAAGAUCUUGUCCCAAAUAUGGAUAAGUAAACGAGAACCGCAGACAUGUUGGAUUUGGCUAUUGAGUAUAUCAAAGAACUUCAUAAUCAAGUUAAGACUCUUUCAGACCGUCAAUGAAAGUGAACAUGUCCACAUAAGCCGAAGUCGUCCUUCUCAAGGCUCCAUAUGUCAACUCACUAAUCCACUAUAAGCUGAUCCUUUACUUUGUUAGCAUUACAAAUUUCAGUCUUAAGCUUAUCGAUAAUAGUUGUUACUUGUAGCUUAAAACCGAUUCAGUUUGAUGUCGAAAGCGGUGCAAUGAAUCUGUUUGAUGUCAAAAACAGUACAAUGUCGUAAGCAUUGGAGAAGUGGAUUUUGAAGCUGAGGUAAUAUUUUAUUUAUGCACUUGAUUCUAAUCAACGUCGUAAG